GUCCCCCCCCUCGGUGGCUCGGGCUCCGACGGCUUGGCCAGAGAUCCGGCAACAGGUGGAGGCGGCGGUGAGCAAUGGACGGCCGGCGGUAAGGUUCGGCCGGCAAAAAUCAAAAAGAGAUCGGAAAACAGGGGAUUUUUUGUUCAUGGAUUUUUCGGCGAAGACGGUGGCCGACGACGAGGCUUUGGGCCAGGGGAGAAAGGAAAGAGGGAGAGGAAGAAGGGGAGGGGCUUACCUUGCUCCGGCGGUUGAGAAAAGCUCCGGCGAACCCCUUUUUCCCAUCAAGAACCCGCGGAUCCUCUUGGAAGAAUCCCUCAAUUUCUAAAAAAAUCUCUCCAAAACCAAUUGCAGAGACAUAAGGGAGGGAAGGGGGUUUUAUAGAGGUGAUUUCCUACCUCUAAUCGGACUCUAUCGAUCCGAUUUUGCCGGAGACGGGAAGGAAGAAGACUCCGGCUAGGAGUCUUCCUCCUCUGUUUUUUAUU
rnacentral:lncRNA from 1 species